UGGGGAAUUUUGCACAAUGGGGGAAACCCUGAUGCAGCGACGCCGCGUGAUUUAGAAGGCCUUCGGGUUGUAAAAAUCUUUUCUAUGGGAAGAAAAUGACAGUACCAUAGGAAUAAGGACCGGCUAAUUACGUGCCAGCAGCCGCGGUAAUACGUAAGGUCCGAGCGUUGUCCGGAAUCAUUGGGCGUAAAGGGUACGUAGGCGGGUAAGCAAGUUAGAAGUGAAAUCCUAUAGCUAAACUAUAGUAAGCUUUUAAAACUGCUCAUCUUGAGGUAUGGAAGGGAAAGUGGAAUUCCUAGUGUAGCGGUGAAAUGCGCAGAUAUUAGGAGGAAUACCGGUGGCGAAGGCGACUUUCUGGCCAUAACCUGACGCUGAGGUACGAAAGCGUGGGUAGCAAACAGG
rnacentral:rRNA from 1 species